rnacentral:rRNA from 1 species
AAAACAUGUCCUUUAGGAUUUAAUUUAAGGUCUAGCCUGCCCACUGAUUUAUUAAAUGGCCGCAGUAUUUUAACUGUGCAAAGGUAGCAUAAUCAUUAGUCUUUUAAUUGGAGGCUUGUAUGAAUGGUUGGACAAGAUAUAUAUUGUUUCAUAUAAAUUUAUAGAAUUUUAUUUUUUAGUUAAAAAGCUUAAAUUUAAUUAAAAGACGAGAAGACCCUAUAGAUCUUUAUAAUUGUUGAAUUUAAUUUAUGAAGAAUGUUUUAUUUUUAAUUUAUUCAAUUAUUUUAUUGGGGUGAUAGCAAGAUUUAUUUAACUCUUGAAUAAUUUAAUACAUAAAUUAAUGAUUAAUUGAUCCAGUAUUAUUGAUUAGUAAAAUAAGUUACCUUAGGGAUAACAGCGUAAUUUUUUUAGAGAGUUCAUAUCGAUAAAAAAGAUUGCGACCUCGAUGUUGGAUUAAGAGAUAAGUUUGGGCGCAGCCGUUCAAAUUUAAAGUCUGUUCGACUUUUUAAUUCUUACAUGAUCUGAG